UACGAAGGGGGCUAGCGUUGCUCGGAAUCACUGGGCGUAAAGCGCACGUAGGCGGAUUGUUAAGUCAGGGGUGAAAUCCUGGAGCUCAACUCCAGAACUGCCUUUGAUACUGGCGAUCUUGAGUCCGGGAGAGGUGAGUGGAACUGCGAGUGUAGAGGUGAAAUUCGUAGAUAUUCGCAAGAACACCAGUGGCGAAGGCGGCUCACUGGCCCGGUACUGACGCUGAGGUGCGAAAGCGUGGAGAGCAAACAGG
rnacentral:rRNA from 1 species